UAUAGGCUAUUGUAAGAUUAGAAUCCUUACUGUUUUGUUUUGUUUUUUUUUAAAGACUCCUUCCUCUUAAUCCUUAUUAACACUUAUCCCCACUAGGGUGGAUAAUGUCCAGCACAGACUCAGUAAUAUGUGUGAUACUUAGCCCAUCACUGGUAGGUGGCAACUGUUAUUCUCAUUCUUAUUACUGAGGGCUGGGAUUUUGCAGUGCAUCUUUGUGUCCCUNNNNNNNNNNNNNNNNNNNNNNNNNNNNNNNNNNNNNNNNNNNNNNNNNNNNNNNNNNNNNNNNNNNNNNNNNNNNNNNNNNNNNUAGCAAGUGAGUGAUUAAAUAAAUGGAUGAAUGGAAAGAGAGGGCAAAAACUCAUGAACAAUAGACAAAGCUGAAAAGAGGGGUCUGAAAAGAGGGGUCAUCCCUGCCGGGUUGGUAGCCAGCUGAGGAGAGGCCUCCCAGGGAUGUGACUUAUGCCCAAUAUUCAUCAGUGUUUUCAUUAAUGACUCCAAAGAUGGAGUGCAGAGUACGCUAAUCAAAUUGGAGAAGCCUGGGAGGCAGGAUAGAAGCUGAGCACUUAGGAGGCAAGCUCAAGCUUGCAGACAGUACUUGACAAAUUAGAGAAAUAAACAGAGUCAAUAAACGGAGCUCCAGGAGCUGCAGACUUCAAGUGGCUCCAAGGGAGCAGCUACCUCUAAUGGAUCUGCCCGGAGAAGCCUUUGGCCCACAUUUUUGUGGGCUUUGCCUGGCUUGAUUGCAUAUUUGGGGGCAAGUCUGAAUGCAGUUCUCUUCAUGUGUGGAGUUGGGCCUGAAAGCCUCAUGAACAAAGUCACUGCUCCAAAGACUGCCCCGGGACUCCUUACUGGGCGCCCCCCUACUCCUCACAUUAGCCACCUGCUUAGCCAGGUCUGAUGGAGGGAAGGAAUAGUUCUACCUGUUCCCCCAAAGACCCAAGACUUGGUAAAAACAUCAACCCCAGGAUGUCUCCUCCCGACCCACAAUAUGGUGCUGCUCUUUUCUACUUGCUAUGCAUUCUCAACAUUUAUUUAUUUGUUGUUAUUGUUGUUCAGUCGCUAAGUCGUAUCUGCCUCUUUGCGACCCCAUGGACUGCAGCACUUCAGGUUUCCCUGUCCUUCACCAUCUCCCGGAGUUUGUUCAAACUCAUGUCCAUUGNNNNNNNNNNNNNNNNNNNNNNNNNNNNNNNNNNNNNNNNNNNNNNNUCCUUAUUUUGGCUAUGCGGGGUCUUCACUGAGCUGCACAGGCUCUUUGCUGCUGCAUGUGGGCUUUCUCUAGUGAGUGGGGUCUAUUCUCUAGUUGCAGUGUUCAGGCCUCUAAUUGCAGUGGCUUUCCUUGUUGCGAAGCACAGGCUCUAAAACAUGUGGGCUCUAGAGAACACGGACUCAGUAGUUGCGGUACACAGGCUUGGUUGCCCUGAGAUCUAGUGGGAUCUUAGUUCCCAGACCAAACCCAUGUCCCCUGUAUUGCCAGGCAGAUUCCUAACUGCUGGACUGCCUGGGAAGUCCCACAUUCUCAUCAUUAACUAACUUCUUUCUCUAUUUGAGUCUGCCCUGGAGUGAUCUCAGUUUUCCUUGGGAAAAUAUGUUGGGUGUGAAAGGAGGGACAAGGAGACAUGUGUGACCAGGUAGGGACUGCCCUAUAGGCUGCCCUGCCUGCCUCUGGGAGAAGACAAAAUCCAAGUGGUUUGGCAUUUACAGACAUGCAUGAGCUUUGGAGGUUCAGCUUCAUCCUUCUGGGGCCACGUGAUAUUAGGUAAGUUACUUAACUUCUCUGAGUCAAGCCCCUUUGGUUACAAAUAAUUGAAAACCAUUCAGUUUAUCUCGAUCAGAAUAGAGCACUUAGUUGGAAGAGUAAAAGACAGUCUCAGAAAACCUGGGAGGCCGGGAAAAGCCACUGUGGACCAUGGUGUGACCUCUUUCUUCCUCCUCUUCCUUCCCCAUAGUUGUGCUCUGCCCAUCUGAUUUUCAGCACAUCUGAUUCUUACUUUUUUCUUGCUUGGACUCCAUGGUACCCAGGACCACACCUGAUGUUCCAGUCCUCCCUUUAGGAAGGACCUUAUAGUAAUGCCACUAUAUCCACAUCUAUAUUUCUGGGAAAAAGAAACUGACCCUGCCGCAGUGGGGUCAAGUUUCUGCCCUGGCCUGGGGAGUGUGUGCAUGCUUAGUAUCAGCAUGUCAGCAAGGACCCACCUCUGUGGGUAGAUGGCAGGAUCUCGGAGAAGAGAAAGAGGUGAGAAAUCACUGAGUUGGGUGUUCAGGGCAGUCUCUAAGCUUUGGUUUUAUCAUAGAAAAAUGGGAAUGAUAUUACCUACCUUGUGAUGAUGAAAUGAAGUACUGUUUGUAAAGUGCUUAUCAUUGUGGCUGACAUAGUAAAGGCUGCCCUUUAAACAACUGCUCUUAACCAAGUUGAAAUUCACUGGACUUGACAGGAAGAUCUCUGAGUUGGACGGGCCUGAGUAGGAAAGGAGGAUCAGGCUAAAGGACGGAGUAUGGGGAUAUGAGGCAUAUGUCUUUAUUCACUGCGUAUUGAGAGAGACAGAGUUGGAAACAGUCAGAGAUGGCGAUGCUCAAAUAUUGUUAUUUCAGGAGGCCUGACUGCUCAUUCCCAGCUGGAAGGCAGGUCAGAGAUGCCAUGUCAUAGGCAAACAAACAACCCUUUGCUUCAUUCAUCCACAGAAAGUUUGGUCAGAGACCUGGGGAAGAACUAGUCUAUUCCUGAAGAGCCGGGUUCAAUUUUUUUAAAUUAAUUAAUUAAUUUUAUUUGGAGGCUAAUUACAAUAUUGUGGUGGUCUGACAGAAUGUGGUCCACUGGAGAAGGGAAUGGCAAAACACUUCACUAUUCUUGCC
ensembl:lncRNA